AGAAUGUCCUUGCCCUCUUUCUGGCUUGAAUGGAAAAUGUGGCCUCCUGGGACUGUCAGUGGUGUGGUCCCCACAUCCUUAGUUGUACACAUAACAUGCUUACCGUGUGCUUGCUUUGAGUCCCUUCUGAGCUCCCAUGCAAUGUAGACUCAUCGGAAUCCCGUGCUCAUGGGAUUUUAUGAACACUAUAUGCAAAUAGGACAGCAAGAAAUGGCAGUAAACGCUUUUAUUGUUGCUAUCUCCUCUGCUCCUGCACAUGCUCCAUGGUAUCGUUGGACUUCACUUACAAAACACAGAUACAAAGACAAAAUUACUAAGAAUUACCAAGAAUUUUAAUUUCAAGAUGGCAACAGAGUAUUAAACCAAAGAUGAAGUCGUUCUGAGUGUGGGGUUUGCGAGAUGGCACAGGUGGCACUCCCAGGAGCUCGUCUUGGCCAGGUCGCACCCUUGAGUCCAUUGGAACCUGAAUCUCACCCUGCUCUGCUAUGCUAUACUGACUCCAGCUGAAUUCAAGGAGUUACAGUUUGAAACUCUCCAGACUCCAGUGGCCAUCCCACUUGUGAUCACUUGCUCUGAGGGAGGACAUCUGCUGUAUCAUGAGGACGCAAAACCAUCCCAUGGAGGGUGCUACAUGCAGAGCAGCUGAGGCCUCCUGCUAGUUGUCAGUGAGGAACCGAGGCUUCUUGCCAAUGGCCAUACCGACUGCUUCAUGCUGGGCUUCAGACAUGAGAGGCUAGGAGUAGGAGGCAUGCCUUGUUCAAAGGUCUUAAAUGUGGGAAAUAGUCUACAGUUUGGAAGACACCAGAGAAAAAUGCUCCACAGCUCGCCCUGGUGACUCACUACAACUUAUGGGAAGAUGUGAGAUUAUUCUGUAUUCUAAUGUAUGUUAGAAGGCACACUCCACCCAAAGCCUUCCUGUGUGUUCCUCCCUGUGAGCUCACAUCCCGUUCACCAGCUGACUGGGAAGGGAAGUCAGGACCAGCCCUGACCCCAUCACACCAUCAUAACCUCGGGAUGGCAGGGCUGGAAGGCACCUCAGACGUCAUCCUUUGCAGACUCUUCAUUUUACAGUGAGAGGCAUGACGUGUCCACAGCUGGUUAGUGCCAAAGCCUGGGACAGGCUUCACAUUGUCCAGCUCUUAGUCAGAGCACUGUUGACAAUGUCUGCCUUCACUUGGAAUUCAGCACCUGCUUUCAGUAUAAACCCCUGCAUUUCACUAAAACUGAGCAGACUGCUGGUUUAAAAAAGAGAGGUCCAUCCAGCAGGGAUGAUGCUUUUCCUCGUUGAAAGAGGACAUUCACCUAAUGGGAGACCUGGAGUCAGAAUCUUUCUGAUGUGUGACUUGGCACAGUAACACAAUGCAGGAUGCUGGUGUGUUAAUAAAAAUAAAAAUUGCAUCGCCUACCUCAGAGUCGACAACAAUGUCAAGGAGUUAAUAGUCUUGGCAACACAGAGGCCACUGGACAGAGGCAUAACCUUGCGUGGCAGCUGCACGGGAAUUGGAUUUGGCUCAGGUGUUUCAGAUGACUAAGAACAAAGGGGACCACUCUUGGUAUAGAAGUUCAUCUCGUCGGGAGCAUCUGUGGUUCUUUUAUAAGCAAUGUACAUUCUACAAUAGAGGCAGACCCAGAAAUAAUUCAGAUAUUGGAGUUAGAAGAUCAGGAUUCUAAAAAAACCAAAAGAUCCUGCCUUACUAUGCACCUAUGGCCCUUCAAAGGCGAGAGUAGAAUCUGCUAUGAUUUAGAAGCAAGCAAUAAAAAGUACACAUCAGGUGAGUGGAUGCUAGCUAAGACCUUGGGCUUUGGGGUCAGACAGGCCUGGGUUUAAAUCCUGGCCCUGUCAUUCUGGGGAAACAUGUUUCUGCUUUCUCCUAUAUGAAAUAGAGGCAGUGGGUAUCCUGAACAUGUCACCUUUACUUGUCCAGCUUGUCAGUUAGGGUUUGGUUAGGGAAACAGAGCUGCUGUAAACAUUAUGGGAAUAAGGGAUUUUAUUCAGAAUUGGAGCCUGCACAGAUGUAGAAGGAGGCAUGAAGAGGGUAUUGGAGGAUUGCCCACUAUGCAGUCUGCAUCCUGAGUCUGUGGUGAGGCUGGACACGUUCAAGCUUACAGGAGAACUGGAGAAAGCAAGCAACACAGCGGUGGAAGUGAGACCACUGAAGGUAAGCUUGGGAGGGGGUCCCGACACCACCACAUCAGUGGAUCCACAGCUAAGUGAUUGGUGGUGGCCUGGGGUUCUGCUGUUUAGCAGGGACAAGAGUGGAGGAGACAAACUGGACUCGGAACAAACUGGGAGCCUCUGCAUCCAUCCGUAACUGUCUGGCCGUGACAGUGGUUAGAGAGGAGUGGCUUCUGUGAAACUCUCACAAUCUCAAAUCUCCCACAAGUGCCUCUUUCAGCUAACUCUAAACUGGUACCAUAGAGGAAAUGGAUUCUGAAAACUUGGUCUCCAACCUUAGACAAAUUGAAUAAUUAAUAUGUCCUCUCCUGCUUCUUCUGUAACUGAAUUUGCAUUGGGAAGCAGGCCUGUCACUCUCAGACUUUGUGGUUUGAGUAGGGCUCACUUCAGCACCACCUUUUCCUCUUCUCAGCCCCACGGACUGGCAUGAGACUCAGGCCUGGCCAACUGAAUGUCACACACCUAUGACCAUCAGUUGGCUCAGAGAUGGACUCAGGACACCAUCACAGCCAAUGAAACCCUGUUAGGGAAAUUUGUCAGAACCAUACAAAGAAAUAGCUCCACUUUUCCAUAGAGAUGAGACAUAAGCCUGGACUAACUGGUGUCCAAUUUGCCAUCAAGAGAGCAUCUGAGAAGACAGAGGAAAACUGGGGAAAGCGAAGUCUAAGGAAGGUGAGUAAGGACAAGUCCAGUUGAUAUUACAUGAAUCACCUGGACCUGGAAAUCAAGGCAUUGCUGGAUUCAAGGCCAAGAAAAAUUGGAAGCUGGCUUGAAUCAGGUUCUAUCACUUGCAGUUGAAAAGGUCCAGACUAAUAUGAUAACAAAGGAGCAAGUAAGCAAGAUUCUGCCCUACAGUAAGUGCUCAAUGCAUGUCAGCUGGUAUUAUUAUUAUACAGACUUCUAUUUCUAGCCCUUUUAUUUCUACCACCUCUCUUCUGUGUUUUAUGUAAAGUGCAUAAGGAUUGUUCUGUUUGGAAACAUCAAACCAUAUAAAAUGACACCAGCAGGUCCCUUUCUGUCUGUCAGUGUCCACAAGCUCAACAACCAGGAUCAGCAGACAAAAACAGCUAAGCUGGAGUCAGUGUUUUUAUGAAGAAACAGGAAAAGAACUUACUUGGGAACUGUAGCUCAUCCUCCAAUAUUCUCCAUCCUAUCACUCUUUUCAUGACAGUUUCUUCUUGGCCCUGAAGUUGCCUUGUCAUGGCUCCCUGCCUCUGUCCUUUCUCUGUCUCACUUACAUCUUCCAAUGAGGAAUACAGCAAGACCUUUGGAUGAGGACCUCCAAAGGUCCUCAGUAUCCUUAGGACACUCGGUGCAGAACUAGAGGGACUGAGAGGAGGAGCUUUUGCAGGUUAAAUGACUAGUGAAUGGCCUUUCCUUAUAUUUCCAUUAGAAAUGGGAUUAGCUACACCUGAGAAGGAAUGACUUUGGAACAACUGAUCCCUAGCUUUCCAAAAUAUGAGAAAUUGAGAUGCAGGGAGUAGUAAGCACCUAGUUAAUGAGUCAAAGCAUAUUUAUAAAGUUCACAGGGUACAUAGCAUAUAGCAGCUGUUCUCUAUCUCAGUUGAGUUUUGACUAGGAAAUGGGCUUAGGAUAAAACACAUAGGCUUUUGAGUAAUCAUUUGUAAGAAAUUGUAGAUAGUGACCACAGUUUAAUAGCAUUAGAUAAAUUAUGAAAAGUCACUGAAAUACCUUCUCUGGAAAAUGUUAGAAGCUCAAGUACAAUGGCUUAGUUAAAGGCAGGUGGGGGAGAAACUUGAAGAAUGUGGUCCAGUACAAGAAUACCCCAUUUUUCCCCUAAGGCAAUGAAAAUGACAUGAAGUAAUCAUAGUUAUUUAUACAGGAACAAUUUAGGAGACUUAGAAUAUUCACUUCUUUUGCCUUCUAGCUGAGCAUCAAAAUUCUCUCUCUGUCUCUGCCUCUCUCUCUCUAUUUUCCACUUCUAGCUCCAACUAUUUUAAAUCCCUCCCCCAAUAGAACUCAUAACAAACAUAAAACAACAUUUGUUGUAUGUUUACAAUAGAUGUUCAAGCUAAUAUUUAUGUAGGCUUAGCCCUGGCAUUAAAUUAAGGUUUGGUUCACCAACAGGGUGCCUAGAGACUUCACCUCUAUUUCCAUGAGGGACUGAACAGCCUCUUGAGAAGGGACUCAUCAAAAUGGAAGAGUUGGCAAUAAGAAGUUUGGCUAAAUAACCAAGCACUGAAGUUGCAGAGGAGAAAGGAUUUGAAAGGCAGUACAGUGUCCAGGGGCAAGUUGGCAAUUUUUAGCAGGAGGUGAAGUGAUGCCAGCAGAGGUAACAGUGCUCAGAGGGACCAGUAGUCCCCAGGAGGAGCAGGGGAAUCCCCAGUGGAUCUGAUUUGUUCAAGAGCACAUGUGAGAUUAUCAGCUGGCGUUACAAUUUUGGAGUGGCAGUGAGAAGCAGUGAAUUUGAGGUCACUCAAUUUGCAGACCCCAAAGGGUGAAAUGUUGAGAAACAUGAGUUACACAUGUAUUUAACAGCUCUUGUGUAUUAUCACAAAUCCUAUUUCACCUCUCAUGCCCCCGAGGCUUUGGUGUCCAGUUCUCUGAAGACUUCAUCAAUCCUCAGCCAUAAAUCACCUGAGAGCAACUCACCUUGCUUCAUACUAUGAAGCUCCCUGAUGUCACAGCAUGGCAGGCCUGUGGCAACCCCUCAACACUUAUGCAUGAUCCCAAACAGCUAGAGGAUUAACACCUACGGUGUAACCCUUGACCAGCAGGAAAUGGAAAUUACUGUCUUUUUGUCCCCGCAGGUGAAUGGUUCUAAAAUGCAUUUUAUAAGCCUUCUGAAAUAGUCCCACAGGUCAAGCACCUACUUGCUCCAGUGGUGACCAACUCAAUGAUGCAUCCUUGGGUUGACUCUCCCUCCUUUCCAGUUCACUUUCCCCGCCCCUCACUCCUGCACCUCAGCAUCACAUUCCUGAAUAAACCACUCACACAUCUGUCUUAUUUCAGACUCUGUUUGGGGGAAUCCACAAUAAAAAUUUGUCAUUUUGAGUUAAACAUUGCUCUCACCUUGAAGACAUAUUUCCAUACCUAGAGAUUUCUGAAGUUCUCUCCCUUUUCCUAUCAUCUCCUUUGUGCUUUGUCUGACCUCCAUGUUACAGAGCCCCAUGAUAUUUAGAGCCAGUACUGCUAGGGAAGUAGUUCAGUUGUGUUUUAAAUGGUUCAGCAACUUGUAACAUCAACUGAGAACCAGAGGAAUACACUUGGAGGCCAAGAAAAAAAUGUUAGCUAAUAUGUACCAUACAGUAUGAUUCCUUGGGUAAGGGAAAGUAUAUGCAAGUGACAGAGGAAAAUUGAAAGUUGUAGCCCUUUUUUGGACUUUAGAUUUGGAAUUAAAGUUUCUCUUCUCUUGAAAGACCUUCUUUUUGUGGAUAAUGAUGAAUCUGAAGACCAGAACAGUGGGCCAAUUUGCCUUAGUUGAGAGUGGCAAAUAAAUGAAGAACUGAAGAACGUAUCUCUUUAACUAGUGCUCCUUUGUUGAGAAGAUACAAAACAAACAAUUGAAGGGUAUGGAUGAAGCCAUUGGCUUAUUCAUGUCUCUGUUGAUCAUAAUGAGAUUAAUAUAUAUAGGACAUUCACACAAAGAGGAUAUUGACUCGAUGGCUUACAGAUUAUUAGAGUUAGAAAUGUGACCUACUACUAAAGGAAGAAUGUUUCAGGUGUGGAUCUCUGAUUUAAAAAAUACACCACACUUGCCUCAGUGAAGCAAGUCAACUUAGGUGCUGAUACAAUGCCACUGCAGCUGUGCUGAGUUCAUGAAAUCAGAUCCCACUCUCUUCACCUACCCCUACCGUAUUCAUCCUACUUUCCGUCUGCUCUGCCCUUCCCAUUUGGUAACCUAGUCAUGAAACACCUGGCUCUGGGUCCUUCCUUCAGCAUCACUCCACGUUGUACUGCUGGCAUCGCUUUUCUUGGCACAGAACCUCUUAGGGCUGCUAUCCUAGGAGUAGGUGCUACUCAGGCUGGCUUAGUCCCAGGCUUCACUCACUUCUUGGCCCAUGGCCAGGAGGACCGGAAAGAACAAACUCUCUGCACAUCUCUGCAGGUGGCCACAGAGCCCCCAUCUGAGCCUUGCUGAUGGAGAAGAGCAUGCUGCAUCACAAGAUAACUGUGUGGCUCUGUUCAAAAACCUUGUUUAGAAGUUAUUAUUUCUUUUAUUGCAUUAGAAUUUGCCUCACUGUAGCUUUUGUGCUUCUGUCCUGGUUCAGCCUUAGAUAGCAGUGCAGCCUGGUCCAUGUGAAAGCUCUUGCAAUAGGCCUUUCUGCUAGUCAGGAGUUCUCAGACCCAUCCCUACUCUUCACUUUUCUCAAGACUAAUAUCAGACUCCUGGGCUCUUCAAGGUUUCCUCAUAUGAUAAAAGUUCUAAGCCCUCCAUUGUCCUAGUCACUGUCCUCUCUGUUCCAUCCCUGUCUGCCCUUCCAAGAUGCUGCACCUGGAGAUGAAUUUGUCCUUCCUGGGGCAAGUCACCAUGAGAUGAUUACUUUUGGAUCAUACUGAAUUUGUGGGUUAAAUAAACUCAUAGGUCUUUAUCUCAUGCACUAAAUCCAAAUUCGAUCUCUUGCCGUAAAUCAUUUUUUUGAAUAGCUGAACAAUAAGUAAAUAAUACACAAAUGAAAACUAAUCAAUAUUUGAACAUCCUCAGUAUUUUCAGCCCUAGUUUGAGCCAGACAUAGCUCAUCUUGUAUACUUCACUAAGGACACUUUAUACGAUCAAGCAAUUAAUAUUAUGAUGUCAUGUCUCGCAAGCCCCAUAGUGUCACUUCCAGUCUCUUCACCACAAAGAACGUUGAAGCCUUCGUAUUUUUUUGAAAAUCAUAUUUCUAGCUGCAGGAUGGGAUGUAAGAAAAGUUCAGAUUAGGAUUAUUCUAGGCUCCUGACUAUAACUAAAAUCCUGAUUUUUUAUGGAAAGGAAUGAGGAUCAUUCCUUCAAAUUAGAUUUUUGUGAUAAAAAGAAAAAAGUUGGUAAUCUAUUCAAAAUUGUAACAAAAAUAACUGCAUUUUUCUUUGGAAAAUAAUAGUUGAUUCCUUUUUGCUUUUUUUACUUAUGAAUUGGGGUGCAAUAGAGUUUAAUAAAAAUGAUGUGAAACACUCUUAUAAGGCUAAUUUAUCACAUUUGCUUCAAGGAAUUGUCCUUUCUAACAAAAUUGUGAAAUGGAACUGAACAGUAGCAUGAUGAGGCCUCUACCAGGAGGAGGUACAGAACAAGGCAGGAGGUCAGUGGUUAAAGGACUCCUUGCUUAUGCUCAAGAAAUGUGGACCUUAUUAGAGGUGACACAGUGAAAUCAGUCACCUGAUUUCGCAGGUGACUGUGGAGCAAGAAUGCAAAUCCACAAUAUUAGGAUGAAUGUGAGAGGAGAAGGGAAGGAGGCCAUGAGGGAAAAAAGGACAUCUAAUUGGGUCUGAAAGGAAGGGUAGAAUUUAAGUAAAGAGCACUGUGUACAUAUGGGAAUACCAUGUACUUUCUCAUGGAGAGAGGCCUUCUGACAGUCCUGCAUUGAUCCUGCUUCUUUGACCAUCCCUUGUUAGCCAGCAGGUCAUUUGGCCUCACUAGUUGCCUCAGUGCUGAGUGAUAGACUCAGCAGUCCCCAGCCUCUUUGGCACCAGGGACUGGUUUUGUGGAAGAUAAUUUUUCCAUGGAUCAGGGAGAGGAUGGUUUCAGGAGGAUUUAAGUGCAUUACAUUUACUGCGCACUUUAUUUCUAAUAUUAUUACAUUGUAAUCUAUAAUGAAAUAAUUAUACAAUUCACCAUAAUGUAGAAUCAGUGGGUGCCCUGAGCUUGUUUUCCUGCAACUAGAUGGUCCCAUCUGGGGGUGAUGGGAGACAGUGACAGAUCAUCAGGCAUUAGAUUCUCAUAAGGAAUGCACAACCUAGAUUCUUCACAUGUGCAGUUCACCAUGAGGUUCACGCUCCUAUGAGAAGCUAAUGCCUCCGCUUAAACGACACAGGAGAUGGAGCUCAGGUAGUAAUGAGUGAAAUGGGGAGCAGCUGUCAAUACAGAUGAAGCUUUGCUUGCUUGCUUGCCGCUCACCACCUGCUGUGCAGCCUGGUUCCUAACUGGUACUGGUCAGUGGCCUGUGGUUGGGAACUCCUGGUAGACUAACAACAGAACAAAGCCAAGUCUCAAGGAGAGACAGUUGUAUAGAUGCCUUCCUGCCCAUUCUCUGUUGUGGGGGCCAAAUCACACAAGACCUG
rnacentral:lncRNA from 10 species